AAGGGACUCAGCCUGUGGAAAUCUAAGUCUCUGAGGACUCCUAUGUGACCAAAGCCUGGAUUUCUCAUCUCACAGAGUCAGCUUUUGAGCAUUCCUUUCUGGAGCUGAAAGAGCAUAAAGUCAUUACAGAGAGCCUCAUUAAACGUGUUUCAUGAGAGCAGAUUGAUCCCACAGCCCUAGGAUCAGCAUUACAGCAAGGACAGCCCAGAAGCCCCAUCCUACCAGGGCUGAGUAUCACUGGGAGACCCUACUCACCAAGGGACAGACUGACUGCUGUCACCAACACCCAGACAAGGCCUGGAAACUGCAGCUGUGUGUAACAACACCACUGCCAAUUUCUCCACCCAGAACAAGCCAAGAUUCAUUUGUGACCAAAAUUCCUGCACUAAUGCUAACCACCAUCUGAUUAUGUGAUUUUCCUGAGAUGAUGGUGCAAGUCAUUGUCCCAGAAAGGGCUCAGGUGGGCACUCUGCAGCCCCCAUUCCCUGCUGCCUACCUCUGCCUCUGGUUGGUCCAGUGCCCUGUGCAGCCCUGUCACCUGCACUCCGCUCCCUGCUGGAAAAAUGUGCUCGUUUUCAAAGGUGUGUGGCUGAAGCUGUGCUUGGGACAAGUCCGAAUGCUCUCUGCCUGGGGAACAGGAUGGGGCUGAAGGGAAGAAAAGCAGCAGUUAACGCAAUAAGUAGUGAAAAUUAAGCAAACUGUUCAAGUGGUGCUUUAACAAAGGACAGUUUGAGACUGUGAGUUGUGUUUGUUGUUUUUUUUUUUUUUUUUUCUUUACGUUAAGGAAAGAAGGAGAGAGAAGAUUUUUCCACGCAGUCGACAUGUUGCAUGUGCACAUCCAGAGGUCUCACUGAACCAAAAAAACAAUUCACUGACUGAGGAAACUCCUCCCUGUGCUGGUUCAUUCCCUGCGCUGCACAUCUGCUCCUGGAAGCACUUUACAGCCACGCGUCUGGAAAUACAUUGCAAAUAGGCAAUUAGUGUCAGCCCUAUUCUGAAGAUGGAGAAACUCAAGCAGAGUCCGAGCAAGACAGCUAUGAAAGAACAAUGCCAAAAUUAGGCCGUUUGUUUCAUCUUGACAAACUAGAACUACAACCUCCUGAAGACAACCUAAAGCAUUUCAUUUAGCUAGCAGUAACUCGAUGCAGUCCCCACAGAAGGAGAAGCAACAGACAUGGCUCAGGUUGGACAGACAAGAGGACGGCAGCGAGGACAGACUGACUCAUGCUCAAGAAUAGAGGUAGGAAGAGGACUUCCAGUAAUGACAGACUUCAAAGAGGCCACUGCAACUACUCACAUCCCAAAUCCAGCGCUGAGGGAUCCCCCUCCAGCGAAGGGCUGACCGUCACAGGUCUGCAGGCUCCUAUUUUCUGA